GUCCAGAGUGCGGCACCCGGGAGUCACACAUAAAACAUGCCAGAGUGAAGGGCUGAGGGUCCCCUGAGGAGAGGGUUGUGAGAUGGAGUUUCAGCACCCUGGGGGAGUUCUCAGAUGAGCCAACUGUCCUGCAAACCUCCCCAGAAGUCCUUUCUGCUGCAUGGCUACAGAGUCUGUUUUCUCUUCCUCAAACACCUAAAGAUGUCCUUGACUACCUGUCUUUCUGCUGCCUUCCAGGGCACGACUGAAGUCACCAGACUGUCGCAGGUCGACUCUCAGAAGAUAACCAUGGAAGGACAAGGAAAAGAACACGGGAGCAGAAGGGAUUCCUGUGAUACGGGACAUGCUUUGCAAUUGUGAAGUGGCGCCCGAGUACAACCCUCCUAGGAACUAUAGACCCUGACAUCUGUGCCCUGACCGGGACAUCACCCAUGGAGAUGGCUCCGGGCUCAGUAAAGCUGUUUCCAAUGGA